rnacentral:rRNA from 1 species
AGAAUCAACGCUGGCGGCGUGCCUAACACAUGCAAGUCGAACGCGACUGAGGGCUUCGGUUCUCAGUUGAGUGGCGAACGGGUGAGUAACACGUGGGUGAUCUACCUUCGAGCGGGGGAUAACGUUCCGAAAGGAACGCUAAUACCGCAUGACGUUCUGGGUUUAAAGACCUGGAAACCAAAGCCGGGGACCGCAAGGCCUGGCACUUGAAGAGGAGCCCGCGUCCGAUUAGCUAGUUGGCGGGGUAAUGGCCCACCAAGGCGACGAUCGGUAGCCGG